GAUGAACGCUAGCGGCAGGCUUAAUACAUGCAAGUCGAGGGGCAGCGCAGUGUAGCAAUACAUGGGCGGCUACCGGCAAACGGGUGCGGAACACGUACGCAACCUACCCAAAACUGGGAGAUAGCCCACCGAAAGGUGGAUUAAUACCUCGUAACCUGGUGAAGUGGCAUCACUUUAUCAGUAUAGCUCCGGCGGCUUUGGAUGGGCGUGCGCCUGAUUAGGUAGUUGGCGGGGUAACGGCCCACCAAGCCCGCGAUCAGUAACUGAUAUGAGAGCACGACCAGUCACACGGGCACUGAGACACGGGCCCGACUCCUACGGGAGGCAGCAGUAAGGAAUAUUGGUCAAUGGACGCAAGUCUGAACCAGCCAUGCCGCGUGAAGGAUGAAGGUCCUCUGGAUUGUAAACUUCUUUUAUCUGGGACGAAACCCGGGAAUUCUUUCCCGAUUGACGGUACCAGAGGAAUAAGCACCGGCUAACUCCGUGCCAGCCGCCGCGGUAAAAC
rnacentral:rRNA from 1 species